UCGCUAUCUGUGCCAAUUUCUCCAAGCCCUGGUCCAGCUAUUUCACCUGGACUUUGCUAGAAGCACAAGUGAACAGUGUCCCCUUGGCCUUGGAACCUUUGCCACAUGUGGUCUAGAAAUCCAGAAGAAGUUGAAAUAUGGUGUAAUGGAAAAGGUGAUGAACUUGAAGCUCGAGACAUAUUGGAAAGAGUUUGUACUUUGGACUCCAAGGUCCUGGGUUGGAAUCCAGGCUCUGAUACUCACUGAUCAGAUGAGCUUAGGUGGAAGAAUAAUAUCUCAGCUGAGGACUCAGGUUGAAGCUAAAGAGUGGAAGCAGAUAGAAAUUCAGCCACUGCCUGCCCAGCAAUAGCCACAAAACAAGUAGGGCAGAGAUUCCUCAUGAAACCAGAGCACCAACAACAGAAGACAUUUGCCCUGCAGCUUCAGGGGUGUGAGUUGUUCUUCCUAGAGUCUGCCCUAGCCACAUUUGUUCCCCUUAUGUGUGUCUCUCCAUGUAUGUUUCUUAGUUAUGUCUAAUUUUUCUUUUCUUACUCUGUUAUUUCAUUAAAUGGUUUUAAUUUAAACUAGUUGUUGUUGAUGGAUGACUAGUAAAAGUAAACACAUUGAUGGGGGCUCAUUAGCUAUGGUUGUGAGUACAAAUGAGCCCACAUAGUAAUUUGAACCCAAGGUAGCUUUUUCUGAGAGGCUGAUGUAUGAGAUGGGAUGACUACCCAGGUGCUACACUAUUUAGGUAGAGAAGGGAAAAGGAGAAGAAAGAUCAGAGGAAUUGCUAUAGAAAUAUUUGAGUAGAGAAAACAUUAAACAGCUAAAAGUUGGAAGGAAUCAGGAAAAGUUAUGCAGAGGAGAUAGUAUCUGAAUUAAGAAUUUAUUUGCUGAAUUAAUUUAACAAAUAUACAAGAAUGGGGCUAUUGGUUUGUUUUAGACUUUGCCCUCAGUUUUCUUCUGAUGAAUAUAUUGUUAUUAUCAUUUUAAACCCUUACCGUCUGUUUUAAAAUCAAUACUGGGUACUGGUUCCAAGAAAGAAGAAUGAUAAGGCUUAGACAAUGAAGGUUAAGUGACAUGCCCAGGAUCACACAGCUAGGAACUGUCUGAGGCCAGAUUUAAAUGCUGGUCCCUGGUCCUCCCUUCUCUUGGCUUAGCUUUCAAUUCACUGAGCCACCUAGCUGUACCCUGAUCAUCAUAUUUAUUAAUGAUUUGGGUGAAAUUUACAAGAACAUGACUUCAAAUCUGAAAGAGAUAGAGAGCUAACAUACCAGAUAAAAGUCAGGAUCCAAUAAUAUAUUGAUUGGAAAGAAUAAGAGACUGAAUCCAAUAAGAUGAAAUUUAAUGGCUGAGUAAAUGUAAAAGACUCUUGUUUGGAUUUAAAGAAUCAAUAGCAGAAAUACAGAAUAAAUGGGAAGUUAAACAAUAAUUUGAAUGAAAA
rnacentral:lncRNA from 1 species